rnacentral:ribozyme from 1 species
GGCUGCUGCUGCGGCGGCGGCGGCGGCGGCUGGCUCUGGGAAAGGCGCUUCCGCCUCGACCGGGAGCGCCCCGCCCAUACCGCCGCCGCCGCCGUACGCCUCUCAC